rnacentral:rRNA from 1 species
UACGUAGGCAGCGAGCGUUGUUCGGAGUUACUGGGCGUAAAGGGUGUGUAGGCGGUUGCUUAAGUCUGGUGUGAAAUCUCCCGGCUCAACUGGGAGGGUGCGCCGAAUACUGAGUGACUAGAGUGCGGGAGAGGAAAGUGGAAUUCCUGGUGUAGCGGUGAAAUGCGUAGAUAUCAGGAGGAACACCGGUGGUGUAGACGGCUUUCUGGACCGUAACUGACGCUGAGACACGAAAGCGUGGGUAGCAAACAGG